rnacentral:tRNA from 1 species
UAGGUGGAUGCUCGCUGGUUAGAGUGCUUAGCUGUUAACUAAGUUUAUGUGGGAUCGAGGCCCUCCCACCUAG